rnacentral:rRNA from 1 species
UGGGGAAUUGUUCACAAUGGGCGCAAGCCUGAUGACGCAACGCCGCGUGGGGGAUGAAGGUCUUCGGAUUGUAAACCCCUGUCGAAUGGGACGAAAGACUCGCGAGUUAAUACUUCGCGGGAGUGACGGUACCGUUAAAGGAAGCCACGGCUAACUCUGUGCCAGCAGCCGCGGUAAUACAGAGGUGGCAAGCGUUGUUCGGAAUUACUGGGCGUAAAGGGCGCGUAGGCGGCCUACUAAGUCAGACGUGAAAUCCCCCGGCUUAACCUGGGAACUGCGUCUGAUACUGGAAGGCUUGAGUAUGGGAGAGGGAUGUAGAAUUCCAGGUGUAGCGGUGAAAUGCGUAGAUAUCUGGAGGAAUACCGGUGGCGAAGGCGGCAUCCUGGACCAUUACUGACGCUGAGGCGCGAAAGCUAGGGGAGCAAACGGGAUUAGAUACCCAGGUAGUCCCUGAGCGGGCUGGCAAGGCGCAU